rnacentral:lncRNA from 1 species
UGGCAUACCUUUUAUGGCGAUCUUGUUAGCCCUACUGAGAUGGAUGAUGUUAUAUCUGAAACACAUCCUUCCUUAGUAACCAAGACCCUUGCGCUCCCCACUUCUGAAGUGCCUCUCUCACCCUCUGGGCUUAAUGACCAGCAUGUUGGAGCCUCCUCUACUCAUCGAUAAAAAACUGCCCUGUUUCCCUCGAGUGGUACAACCCCUGCAUCAUCAACUCAGCCAAGUGUUAUGCAAGACCUCCACAUGUCUGAGAAGGUGCAGCCACAACAAUCUGGACAAAUUGUUGUCAUAUCUCAGCCAGCACAAAGAAGGGAUCAUUAUAUGCAGGGGGAAAAGUUAAAAGGCACCUCAGAUCAGCAGGGUCAUCUUCAGGUUGAAGCUGCCUUGCUUAAAAUGAAGUCCUCUGUUUCAGUAGUACCUACUGCUCUCAAUGUUCCAGCAGCAGAUUCAUCAAAACCAGUCAAAUUAAAGAGUCCUCACAGGCUUACCAGAGGUAGCCCCCAGAAAAAAGCUAAGAGGUUCUCGCCUUAUGAAUCGCUUGCUCCUGGAUUACCUGUUUUGGAUGACAACCAACUAAUGGACAACCCUAUCCUUGAAGCCGAAGGGGUUGACAAUUGGGCGAUGGUGGCUUGCCUUAAAAAGCCACCAAGGGAUAGAUGAAGUUUGUAAGUUGGAACUGUCAAGGGCUGGGCAACCCCUUGACAGUUCAAGCUCUUAAGGACCUCGUGGUCCAUGAUCGGCCCGACUUUUUGUUUUUGAUGGAAUCUAAAAACCAGGACUCCUUUUUAUCUAGAGUACAAAGGAGAUUGCAUUACCAGCAUAGCUUUUUGGUGUCCCCUGUCGGUCUAGUUGGUGGUUUGGCUGUCUUUUGGAAUGACCCUCUCUCUGUUAGUGUGGAUGACUCCUCAGCCCACUAUAUUGACCUGAUCUGCUCUGGUCCCCAUGAAGGAAGCCCAAUGCGUCUCACUUGCAUCCAUG